CCUACGGGAGGCAGCAGUGAGGAAUAUUGGUCAAUGGGCGCGAGCCUGAACCAGCCAAGUCGCGUGAGGGAUGAAGGUUCUAUGGAUCGUAAACCUCUUUUAUAAGGGAAUAAAGUGUGGGACGUGUCCCAUUUUGUAUGUACCUUAUGAAUAAAGAUAGGCUAACUCCGUGCCAGCAGCCUCGGUAAUACGGAGGAUCCGAGCGUUAUCCGGAUUUAUUGGGUUUAAAGGGUGCGUAGGCGGCCUUUUAAGUCAGCGGUGAAAGUCUGUGGCUAAACCAUGGAAUUGCCGUUGAAACUGGGGAGUUGGAGUAUGUUUGAGGCAGGCGGAAUGCGUGGUGUAGCGGUGAAAUGCUUAGAUAUCACGCAGAACCCCGAUUGCGAAGGCAGCCUGCCAAGCCAUGACUGACGCUGAUGCACGAAAGCGUGGGGAUCAAACAGGAUUAGAUACCCCUGUAGUC
rnacentral:rRNA from 1 species